rnacentral:rRNA from 1 species
GCCAAAAACUAGCCUGCACAACACACCAUAAAUCACUUCACACAAACUAAACCAUUUACCAAAUCCAGUAUAUGAGAUAGAACUUUAAACACAGCGCAAUAGCCCAAAUCGUACCACAAGGGAACCAUGAAAGACUAAUUAAUAACCACAAGCACAGCACAGCAGGGCUAAAGCCCCGUACCUCCUGCAUCAUGGUUUAGCCAGCAGCUCGCCGACAAAGUGCCCUGUGUCCGCCACCCCGAAACCAGACGAGCUACCU